rnacentral:rRNA from 1 species
GACGAACGCUGGCGGCGUGCUUAACACAUGCAAGUCGAGCGGUAAGGCCCUUUCGGGGGCACACGAGCGGCGAACGGGUGAGUAACACGUGGGUGACCUGCCCUCAGCUCUGGGAUAAGCCUGGGAAACUGGGUCUAAUACUGGAUAUGACUCCACGGUGCAUGUCGUGGGGUGGAAAGCCUUGUGCGGCUGAGGAUGGGCCCGCGGCCUAUCAGCUUGUUGGGGGGUGAUGGCCUACCAAGGCGACGACGGGUAGCCGGCCUGAGAGGGCGACCGGCCACACUGGGACUGAGACACGGCCCAGACUCCUACGGGAGGCAGCAGUGGGGAAUCUUGCGCAAUGGGCGAAAGCCUGACGCAGCGACGCCGCGUGAGGA